rnacentral:rRNA from 1 species
CCCUUAGAUGUUCUGGGCCGCACGCGCGCUACACUGACAGAGCCAGCGAGUUUUUUACCUUGGCCGGAAGGUCUGGGAAAUCUUGUGAAACUCUGUCGUGCUGGGGAUAGAGCAUUGCAAUUAUUAAUCUUCAACGAGGAAUGCCUAGUAAGCGCAAGUCAUCAGCUUGCGUUGAUUACGUCCCUGCCCUUUGUACACACCGCCCGUCGCUCCUACCGAUUGAAUGGUCCGGUGAAGCGUUUGGACUAUGGUUUUCUGAUGGUCCGCCGUUGGAUUACCGUGGGAAGUUCGUUAAACCUUAUCAUUUAGAGGAAGGAGAAGUCGUAACA